rnacentral:lncRNA from 1 species
AAAAUUAUUAUUUAGUCCCUCAAGUUUUACAUAAUUAUCCAACUAAUCUCAAGUUUUGCGUAAAUAUCUAACUAGUCCCUCAGGUUUAAUUCCGUCUAAUUAAAAGGUCCUUCCAUCCGAAAAGUUGGUUUUUUUCCAUUAAUUGAAGACUAAAAGAUUAAAAUACCCCUCCCUAGUUGACGUGGACUAGCAUGAAGCGAUACUGAUAUACCUAGUUUGUUUCUCUUUUAUUCCUU